GAUGAACGCUAGCUACAGGCUUAACACAUGCAAGUCGAGGGGUAACGAGAGGAAAGCUUGCUUUCCUUGUCGAUGACCGGCGCACGGGUGAGUAACGCGUAUCCAACCUGCCCCCAACUAGGGAAUAACCUUGCGAAAGUAAGACUAAUACCCUAUAAUUUCCUCAGAUGUCAUCUGACGAGGAAUAAAGAUUUAUCGGUUGUGGAUGGGGAUGCGUCUGAUUAGCUUGUUGGCGGGGUAACGGCCCACCAAGGCAACGAUCAGUAGGGGUUCUGAGAGGAAGGUCCCCCACAUUGGAACUGAGACACGGUCCAAACUCCUACGGGAGGCAGCAGUGAGGAAUAUUGGUCAAUGGGCGGAAGCCUGAACCAGCCAAGUAGCGUGCAGGAUGACGGCCCUAUGGGUUGUAAACUGCUUUUAUACAGGAAUAAAGUUAGCCACGUGUGGUUAUUUGUAGGUACUGUAUGAAUAAGGGCCGGCUAAUUCCGUGCCAGCAGCCGCGGUAA
rnacentral:rRNA from 1 species